UACGUGCCAGCAGCCGCGGUAAGACGUAGGACGCAAGCGUUAUCCGGAUUUACUGGGCGUAAAGCGCCUGUAGGCGGUCAAGUAAGUCGGAUGUGAAAGCCCCGUGCUCAACGCGGGGAAGCCAUUCGAUACUGCGUGACUAGAGAACGGCAGAGGGAAACGGAAUUUCUGGUGUAGCGGUAAAAUGCGCAGAGAUCAGAAAGAACACCGAUGGCGAAGGCAGUUUCCUAGGCCGCAUCUGACGCUGAGAGGCGAAAGCUAGGGGAGCAAACAGGAUUAGAGACCCUGGUAGUCCUAGCUGUAAACGAUGGAUGCUAGGUGUGGGCCGGAAAGGUCCGUGCCGUAGUUAACGCGAUAAGCAUCCCGCCUGGGGAGUACGGCCGCAAGGCUAAAACUCAAACGAAUUGACGGGGACCCGCACAAGCAGCGGAGCGUGUGGUUUAAUUCGAUGCUACACGCAGAACCUUACCUGGGCUUGACAUGUAGGUGGUAGUGAAGUGAAAGCGGAGCGACCCUUCGGGGAGCCUACACAGGUGCUGCAUGGCUGUCGUCAGCUCGUGCCGUGAGGUGUCGGGUUAAGUCCCGUAACGAGCGCAACCCUUGUCCUUAGUUACAAGUGUCUAAGGAGACUGCCGGUGACAAACCGGAGGAAGGUGGGGAUGACGUCAAGUCAGCAUGGCCCUUAUGUCCAGGGCGACACACACGCUACAAUGGUCGGUACAAUGGGCAGCGCAGCCGCGAGGUGAAGCGAAUCCCAACAAAGCCGAUCCCAGUUCGGAUUGCAGGCUGCAACCCGCCUGCAUGAAGCCGGAGUU
rnacentral:rRNA from 1 species